GGAGAGAUGGCUGAGUGGACGAAAGCGGCCGCCUCGAAAGCGGCUUCCCGAGUAAUCGGGACGGAGGUUCGAAUCCUCCUCUCUCCG
rnacentral:tRNA from 1 species